rnacentral:rRNA from 1 species
GAACUCGCUGUGAAGAUGCAGUGUACCCGCGGCAAGACGGAAAGACCCCGUGAACCUUUACUAUAGCUUGACACUGAACAUUGAGCCUUGAUGUGUAGGAUAGGUGGGAGGCUUAGAAGUGUGGACGCCAGUCUGCAUGGAGCCGACCUUGAAAUACCACCCUUUAAUGUUUGAUGUUCUAACGUGGACCCGUGAUCCGGGUUGCGGACAGUGUCUGGUGGGUAGUUUGACUGGGGCGGUCUCCUCCUAAAGAGUAACGGAGGAGCACGAAGGUUGGCUAAUCCUGGUCGGACAUCAGGAGGUUAGUGCAAUGGCAUAAGCCAGCUUGACUGCGAGCGUGACGGCGCGAGCAGGUGCGAAAGCAGGUCAUAGUGAUCCGGUGGUUCUGAAUGGAAGGGCCAUCGCUCAACGGAUAAAAGGUACUCCGGGGAUAACAGGCUGAUACCGCCCAAGAGUUCAUAUCGACGGCGGUGUUUGGCACCUCGAUGUCGGCUCAUCACAUCCUGGGGCUGAAGUAGGUCCCAAGGGUAUGGCUGUUCGCCAUUUAAAGUGGUACGCGAGCUGGGUUUAGAACGUCGUGAGACAGUUCGGUCCCUA